UGUUCUUCCUCAAGCGCAAGGACAGGAUUUCGUCUUCGCUUUCGGAU
rnacentral:tRNA from 1 species